UACGAGGGGGGGCGAGCGUUGUUCGGAAUUAUUGGGCGUAAAGGGUGCGUAGGCGGUUUGGUAAGUCUGAUGUGAAAUCUAUGGGCUCAACUCAUAGUCUGCAUCGGAAACUGCCGGGCUUGAGUGUGGGAGAGGUGAGUGGAAUUCCUGGUGUAGCGGUGAAAUGCGUAGAUAUCAGGAGGAACACCUGUGGCGAAAGCGGCUCACUGGACCAUAACUGACGCUGAGGCGCGAAAGCUAGGGGAGCAAACAGG
rnacentral:rRNA from 1 species